UUAAUAGAUUGUAUGCUAGCUUGGCGUUAUAAUCUUAUAAACAAACAGUAAAGUACAGACUUUAAUGCCGCAAAUGUGUUUAUAGUAAGUACUUCUUUAACUUGCGGACACGUAAACUUAUUGGCAGUUAUUUAACAAUUAUGUCGAUAUAUGGCUUAGUGAUAGAAUUAGCAAAUAGAACUGGCAGUGAGCUGGUCACCUAGGUCGCAGGACCGAUGGCCACUGGAGCAGACGUGUCCUGGAAUGAAGAUCGCGUGUUGGCAAACGCAGUGUGGGACGCCCUCCGAUCUGCUGGACCGACAAUGACAGAGGAUAGAAAGUAGAAGAUGGUGUUGCAGGCGUCCACACUUCGGUAUCCGCUUACCACGAAGCGGAACGUACACCUGUUUGCAACUCUGAAAUAAAUUGUUUUAAUUUUUUCCAUCAAACCUGUCAUGAAUCAAUGAUAAUAACAACAGUUGCUUAAA